rnacentral:rRNA from 1 species
CACGUAGGCUGUUCCGUCAGUCAGAUGUGAAAUCCCUCGGCUUAACCGGGGAACUGCAUUUGAUACUGCGGGACUUGAGUGUCGGAGAGGGUGGCGGAAUUCCAGGUGUAGGAGUGAAAUCCGUAGAUAUCUGGAGGAACACCAGUGGCGAAGGCGGCCACCUGGACGACAACUGACGCUGAGGUGCGAAAGCGUGGGUAGCAAACAGGAUUAGAUACCCUGGUAGUCCACGCUGUAAACGACGGAUGCUGGGUGUCGGGGGUUUACCUUCGGUGCCGCAGUUAACGCGUUAAGCACCCCGCCUGGGGAGUACGGUCGCAAGGCUGAA